rnacentral:rRNA from 1 species
GAUGAACGCUGGCGGCGUGCCUAAUACAUGCAAGUCGAGCGAACAGAUAAGGAGCUUGCUCCUUUGACGUUAGCGGCGGACGGGUGAGUAACACGUGGGUAACCUACCUAUAAGACUGGAAUAACUCCGGGAAACCGGGGCUAAUGCCGGAUAACAUGUUGAACCGCAUGGUUCUACAGUGAAAGGCGGCUUUGCUGUCACUUAUAGAUGGACCCGCGCCGUAUUAGCUAGUUGGUGAGGUAACGGCUCACCAAGGCAACGAUACGUAGCCGACCUGAGAGGGUGAUCGGCCACACUGGAACUGAGACACGGUCCAGACUCCUACAGGAGGCAGCAGUAGGGAAUCUUCCGCAAUGGGCGAAAGCCUGACGGAGCAACGCCGCGUGAGUGAUGAAGGUCUUCGGAUCGUAAAACUCUGUUAUUAGGGAAGAACAAAUGCGUAAGUAACUGUGCGCGUCUUGACGGUACCUAAUCAGAAAGCCACGGCUAACUACGUG